rnacentral:rRNA from 1 species
CAGCCUCCAAGGCUAUGACGGGUAUCCGGCCUGAAAGGGUGAACGGACACACUGGAACUGAGACACGGUCCAGACUCCUACGGGAGGCAGCAGUGGGGAAUUUUGGACAAUGGGGGAAACCCUGAUCCAGCGACGCCGCGUGGAGGACGAAGGUCUUCGGAUUGUAAACUCCCUUUAGAGGGGAAGAAAAAAAUGACGGUACCCUCAGAAAAAGCCACGGCUAACUACGUGCCAGCAGCCGCGGUAAUACGUAGGUGGCGAGCGUUACUCGGAAUUACUAGGCGUAAAGCGUAUGUAGGCGGUUAGAUAAGUCUUUAGUGAAAUUUUUCUGCUUAACAGGGAAGGGUCUAAGGAUACUGUUUGACUUGAGUGUUGGAGGGGGAGACGGAAUUCCUGGUGUAGCGGUGAAAUGCGUAGAUAUCAGGAGGAACACCGAUGGCGAAAGCAGUCUCCUGGACAAAUACUGACGCUAAUGUACGAAAGCUAGGGUAGCAAACAGGAUUAGAUACCCUGGUAGUCCUAGCUGUAAACGAUGUUCACUAGAUGUGGGAGGUAUCGACCCCUUCCGCGUCGACGCUAACGCAUUAAGUGAACCGCCUGGGGAGUACGGCCGCAAGGUUGAAACUCAAAGGAAUUGACGGGGGCCCGCACAAGCGGUGGAAUAUGUGGUUUAAUUCGACGCAACGCGAAGAACCUUACCUGGGCUUGAACUGCUAAUGGUAAAAACUGGAAACAGUAAUGACCCGCAAGGGAGUUAGCAGAGGUGCUGCAUGGCUGUCGCCAGCUCGUGUCGUGAGAUGUUGGGUUAAGUCCCGCAACGAGCGCAACCCUUAUCCCAUGUUACCUGUAGCAAUACAGGGUCUCUGAGGAAACUGCCAUUGAUAAAAUGGAGGAAGGUGGGGACGACGUCAAGUCAUCAUGGCCUUUAUGUCCAGGGCUACACACGUAUUACAAUGGUCGGUACAGAGGGGAGCGAUAUCGCAAGAUGGAGCAAAUCCCAAAAAGCCGGCCC